GUGCUUGCUUCAGCAGCACAUAUACUAAAAAACUGGAAUGAUAUGGAGAAGAUUAGCAUGGCCCCUGAGCAAGGAUGACACGCAAACUCUGAAGCAUUCCAUUAAAAG
ensembl:snRNA U6 U6 spliceosomal RNA